GAAACCUGACCGGACUGAGAGCUAAGAGGAGGCAUCGUAGUGUGGGAAGCAGUUAAGUUUUAUCGUGAGGUCGACUACUCGUGGUCCUGAUUUAAACUUCUUUGUGACCUGCAAAAAGGUGAAUACGAUGUGUAUGCCUCCAUUGUGCUAUAUCUAACUGUUAUAGUAAGUAAGAGUACUGGAUGUGUAACGCGGUUAGCGACGUGCUAGUUAGCGGUAGCAUUCUGUGUUAAUGUGCCCGCAUAUCGUAGUUUUGUAUUGUGACUUAAUAGUGAGCACAUGUAGAGAAAGAAACCUGACCGGACUGAGAGCUAAGAGGAGGCAUCGUAGUGUGGGAAGCAGUUAAGUUUUAUCGUGAGGUCGACUACUCGUGGUCCUGAUUUAAACUUCUUUGUGACCUGCAAAAAGGAGCUGGACGUUGGAGAGAGGGGUUUCCAGCAGAUGGCCCUGCUGUUUUCUGUGUUUUCUUCCUUGUGACUUCGCCACCGCCAUUGCCCACGUGUGUGUUUGGAUUGCCACCGCCAUUGCCAUUAUCUUCGUGAGAAUAUCAUCCCCCAAUCCCUUUCUGCCCCUACUAAUUACACCCUGGAUUCGUGAGUACUGAUUUACACAUUGCACGUGCUUUUAUUUUGAGCUCAAGCUGAGUGAAGCGGCCAGUACAGUUUUUAGGCCCCACCGCACACAAGCUUCAACUAACAGGCCUGCAACGGGUUAACCUAAUUUAAAGUGUGUUGUUAAUUUGAUUGUGUGUGGUACAUUGAGUUUGCAUUGUUGUAAAUUGGAGAAUCCCGUGCAUCUGAUUUUAUUUAUUUUAUUUGUUUAUUUGUUUUCUUUUCCUAAAAUACAUUCG
ensembl:lncRNA